rnacentral:rRNA from 1 species
CCUACGGGAGGCUGCAGUGGGGAAUAUUGCGCAAUGGGCGAAAGCCUGACGCAGCGACGCCGCGUGAGGGAUGAAGGUCUUCGGAUCGUAAACCUCUGUCAGCAGGGAAAAACGGUCACUGUGCUAAUCAGCAGUGAAUUGACGGUACCUGCAAAGGAAGCACCGGCUAACUCCGUGCCAGCAGCCGCGGUAAUACGGAGGGUGCGAGCGUUAAUCGGAAUUACUGGGCGUAAAGCGCUCGUAGGCGGUAUGUUAAAGCAAGGGUGAAAGCCCCGCGCUCAACGUGGGAACUGCCUUUGAAAACGGCAAACUGGAGUGGGUUGGAGGAUAGUGGAAGUCCAGGUGUAGGAGUGAAAUCCGUAGAUAUCGGGAGGAACAUCAGUGGCGAAGGGGACUAUCUGGCACCAAACUGACGCUGAGGAGCGAAAGCGUGGGUAGCAAACAGGAUUAGAUACCCGUGUAGUC